CACCGUGGCGGCCUGCACGGUGAGUGCGCCAGGCCUGCGGGUCGGCCUGGACCGGUGUGGGGUCGGGCUGCGGCGCUUCACGGAGCCGGGCGGGCGGCCUCGGCCUGGGGUCAGUCUCGGCCUGAGCGCCUCGGCUCGCUGCGGAGAAAGACUCCAUUGUACGACUGCGUAGGCUGCACCGGGCCAUUAAAAUUCUGAGUUGCGUUACUCUAGGAUAUGAGACCUUAGUUCAGAAGUUCAGAAGACAGUACAAUCUCUUGUCAGUACAUUUGGCUGCUCACCAUGAGGUUAGGAAAGCCUAAGGGGGGUAUUUCUCGAAGUGCAAGCCAAGGAAAAACCUAUGAGAGCAAGCGCAAGACAGCCCGCCAGCGACAGAAAUGGGGGGUGGCCAUUCGCUUCGACUCAGGGUUAAGUAGACGGAGAAGAAACGUGGAUGAGAAGCC
rnacentral:lncRNA from 1 species